UCGAUGGUAGGAUAGAGGCCUACCAUGGUUUUAACGGGUAACGGGGAAUUAGGGUUCGAUUCCGGAGAGGGAGCCUGAGAAACGGCUACCACAUCCAAGGAAGGCAGCAGGCGCGCAAAUUACCCAAUCCCAACACGGGGAGGUAGUGACAAUAAAUAACAAUAUAGGGCUCUUACGGGUCUUGUAAUUGGAAUGAGUACAAUUUAAAUCUCUUAACGAGGAACAAUUGGAGGGCAAGUCUGGUGCCAGCAGCCGCGGUAAUUCCAGCUCCAAUAGCGUAUAUUAAAGUUGUUGCAGUUAAAAAGCUCGUAGUUGAAUUUCGGAGUUUGUUAGUUGGUCGGGCUUUAUUAUCCGUACUGACUUAAUGGAUUCCUACCUUCUGAAUAACCAGCAUGCUAUUAAGUUAGUGCGUUGGGGAAGCAGAUCUAUUACCUUGAAAAAAUUAGAGUGUUUAAAGCAGGCUAACGCUUGAAUACAUUAGCAUGGAAUAAUGAAAUAGGACGUUCGAUCCUAUUUUGUUGGUUUCUAGGAUUGACGUAAUGAUUAAUAGGGAUAGUUGGGGGCAUUAGUAUUCAAUUGUCAGAGGUGAAAUUCUUGGAUUUAUUGAAGACUAACUACUGCGAAAGCAUUUGCCAAGGAUGUUUUCAUUAAUCAAGAACGAAAGUUAGGGGAUCGAAGACGAUCAGAUACCGUCGUAGUCUUAACCAUAAACUAUGCCGACUAGGGAUCGGAUGAUGUUAAUUUUUUAAUGACUCAUUCGGCGCCUUACGGGAAACCAAAGUGUUUGGGUUC
rnacentral:rRNA from 1 species